rnacentral:misc_RNA from 1 species
GAUGAAGAACGUAGCGAAAUGCGAUAAGUAAUGUGAAUUGCAGAAUUCAGUGAAUCAUCGAGUCUUUGAACGCACAUUGCGCCCCCUGGUAUUCCGGGGGGCAUGCCUGUCCGAGCGUCAUUGCCGCCCUCAAGCACGGCUUGUGUGUUGGGCCCCCGCCCCCCGGCUUCGGGGGGCGGGCCCGAUAGGCAGCGGCGGCACCGCGUCCGGUCCUCGAGCGUAUGGGGCUUCGUCACCCGCUCUGUAGGCCCGGCCGGCGCCCGCCGGCGACCCCAAUCAAUCUUUCCAGGUUGACCUCGGAUCAGGUAGGGAUACCCGCUGAACUUAAGCAUAUCAAUAAGCGGAGGA